rnacentral:rRNA from 1 species
UCCAGACUCCUACGGGAGGCAGCAGUGGGGAAUAUUGCACAAUGGGGGGAACCCUGAUGCAGCGACGCCGCGUGGGUGAAGGAGCGUUUCGGCGCGUAAAGCCCUAUCGGCAGGGAAGAAGGAGGACGGUACCUGACUAAGAAGCCCCGGCUAACUACGUGCCAGCAGCCGCGGUAAUACGUAGGGGGCAAGCGUUAUCCGGAUUUACUGGGUGUAAAGGGGGCGCAGACGGCAGCGCAAGCCAGGAGUGAAAGCCCGGGGCCCAACCCCGGGACUGCUCUUGGAACUGCGCGGCUGGAGUGCAGGAGGGGCAGGCGGAAUUCCCGGUGUAGCGGUGAAAUGCGUAGAUAUCAGGAGGAACACCGGUGGCGAAGGCGGCCUGCUGGACUGCGACUGACGUUGAGGCCCGAAAGCGUGGGGAGCAAACAGGAUUAGAUACCCCGGUA